CUUUGAGCACCCGAUGGCCGUGUGUGGCCAGCAGCUGCCCAUCUCCCAGCAUAACUCCAGACAGAAUUGAAUGCCCUGGAGAAAAGGGGAAACAGCACAGCAGGAGCCAAGCCUGCAGGCUGAGUCUACCAGAAAUGAAUGUCAAAUUGGAGAUGCAUUAACAACCCCCGCAGUACACUUCGCCCUGCCUUUCCCUGGGCUCUCUUGGACUCUAUGUGGAGAAGAGACACGUGGCUUAAAAGGUCACCCAAGACAUAAGUGGUAACAACCGGCAAUCCUAUAAAAUAAAAGGUGAGACAAUGGCUCUGUUCACACCCGCCAUGGGAAUCCCUUUAAGAUCAGUGUCCAUGAGCCUUACCUCGCAACUCUUCCAAGAUCAUAACCAAAGCCUGUUACAGCGGCGGAGGAUAACAGUCAGACAGGACCAAGCUGAAGGUACUCUUUAUCACCCUGACUUCAAGUAACUGUGAAGCACACCUCUCACCUGAAC
rnacentral:lncRNA from 1 species